rnacentral:sRNA from 1 species
UUGUAUUGGUGAAAAGAAGUAUAAAGAGUAUUCUAAGCAAACCCAAGGGAGAGUGCAAAGCAGAGGAAAACAUUGGCCAAGUGUCCUUAAACCUUAGUACUAUGCACAAUAGUACAUUUUAACAACCCAGAUUUCCCAAGCUGAUACUCAUUUUAAUACCUGAGACCACAGUAUUUUGUUGUUUCCAUAGUGAUACUAAGUAACAGAAGUACUUAAAUAGUAGACUAGCCUUAAAUUCAUUUGUAGCCCAGGUUGGCUGUAAACUCAGCAAUCCUCCUGCAUCAGGCUCCCAAGUUCUGGGUGAUAGCAAGUUCAUGUGUACCAAAAAGAUUUUUCAUCAAGUACAUCUUUGCUUCAGCUUGACACAGAAACCUGGUGAAAGUAUGAACAUCACACAAACACGGCUCUUAAAAUCUCUAAAUUAUUUUCAUUUUAAUAUAAAUCAAAGUAUUUCAAGUAUACUUUUCUAAUUACCCCCCCUCCUGUGAAUUCAGCUAAUUAUAGUUCAUUUAACCUAAGCUUUGCCUUUUCACCUCUUUUCAGAAGCAGUAUCAGGCCUGCCAAUUUUUUUUUGUCAAUAUUAUUUCCUCUGUAUUUGUACAUCAAUUUGACACUGAUUACCAUAUUUGAUCCAUCUCUUUGCUGACUUAUUGGCCUAAAUAGUAAUUUAUAUUCUCUUAUGUACACAUUUUCUUGCAAUAUUAUGCCUAAAUAUAGAACAAACAUACUUUGUAGGGAAAUAUAGUAUGUUCAGAAUGGGAUUUGUUAUUUUUAAACUUUCCCAGAUACUGUUGUUUUUGUUUGCCUGUUUGUUUUUGAGACAGGGUCUCAAGUAGCCCAGACUGGCCUCAAACUCGAUAUGUAGCCAAGGAUGACCUUGAAGGGUUUUUGGCAUAUUUUUAUAUGGAUGGAUGCAUGUCUGAGUAUAGGUAUAUGCAUGUGAGUGUACAUACCAUGGAGGUCAGAAAGGGGCUAGAGCUGGAGUUACAGGUAUUUUAGAGCAGCCCAGUAUGAAUCUAGAACCUGGAUCUAGAAACCGAAUCCUCUGGAAGAGCACAGUGCUCUCUUAGACACUCAGCCUUCUCUCCAGCCCUGACCUGAACUUUUGAUCCUCCACCUCUCAAGUGCCGGAGUUACAGGCUUGUGCCAGCAAUCCUGGUUUAUAUCGUGCUGAGGGUUUCCAGCUGCAUCCCAAACACUUAUUUUAUUCUUUAAUGUUGUGUUUGAAAUUAAAUCUCAGUUUUCUCUCACAUUACACAGUUCUUCACAGACAAAGGUAUGUGGGGAUGGCACCAACUCAGCAUCAUCCAAGUCUGGAUUCUGCAGGACCCUUGGAGGAUCAGCAUUCAUUCUCCAAGUGUGCUCCACUCAAAACUACCUGUAUAUACCUUGGCCAUGGGUCUGCUUGCAGGUUUGACAGCAUAAGACAUUGAACAGACCACCUGGGCUUCCGUUCAUACCCUUGUUUAUUUCUGUCAGGCUGGCUCACUCUGAUACAUAAUCAUGCACUCACCUCACCAUGAGUCACUCACUCUCCAGCCAUUCCUCACUCCCCUCAGCUUCUCCCUUUAACUUAAAAAUGUGAAGGCUAAUGGCCAAGAAUAUGGAGGUGGAUCAGGUAAUCUUUGAAACCAUACUUUCUGCCAUAGUUGAAGAAAGGAAAAGGUAGUCAGCAACCCAGAAAGAUUGUAAGACACCCCACAUCUUUCCAGACACACCACCUCCCUGGGGAAUGGUCUGAAUGCCCCAGCUAACUGAAGGCUGCCAUCAGCUGUAUAGCUUUCUGGCAUAUGAGAAAAGCUGCCUGGAACUCUACAAAUAUAGUUGCAAAAUGCUCAUGGGAAUAAUCUUUUAACCAGUGUUCCAGUGAGGACACUGUGCUGCUCAUUUUGAAAGAAAUGAAUAGUGAAAAAAGGACUCACUCUUUGCCCCCAUGAAGGCAACCAGCCAGUGACUAUGAACCUUAAGUUAGUGACAUCUGGACCUUGACAUGAAAUAUACCCACUGUGCCCCAAGUAGCAGUGCCCUAAUAUCCAACAUGUCAACUGCAGAACACAUUAACUGUUCCCACAUAGCUGAUGCUGUGCUCAGUUCACCUGUGGCUCUCUCCUUCACAGGCUCCAAAUCCAGCUUCUUCAAGAGUCCUACUGUUACCAGCCCUUAGAUUCUCUUUUCAGACUAUCUACAGAAUUGAAAAGGAAACCCAAAGCCUAUGUACAGAUUGGCUGGUGGCUGGACUCAAAGCCACCCCAAGAGGGAAACUGCAAAGGGACAGUUCAAGGUUGACCAUAUUCCAUGCUGCCUAUUUCUGUCAUAGCUAGUACUGAGCAAAAGUGCUUUCUCACCCCAAUACUCUUAGAAGAAAGACCAAGAAGACCAAUUUACCACAUAAUGAAGGGCCAGCAACACCCACCCAAAUAAAGGAGUGAUAUUAAGUAAAGAACAUUGACAAUCACCACACAGGUGGAAAAUGUCUGCAAACUCUAGUGACUGAUUCUGGAAAGAAGCAAACAUUCUAAGAUGGGAGAGAAACCGUCGAGAGAAACAUGUUGGGAGAAGAAUGCAUACAAUGGAGUCAGUACUGUUGGGCCCCUAGAUCAUCAAAGAUCACUUGUUUUCACUGAGUGGAUGUUCCCCUGGGCUUGUUGGUCACAUCUGGCCAAAGCAAAUCACACUGCAAAGAGUGAGGUCUACAGACGACAGAGGAAUAGGUUUAAUCUUGAUUUUACUGACAGUCACAGGAAGUGAAGAAGAAUCUGUUCAAGUUUUCCAGCUCAGUUUAUUAAGACAAUCUGAACCUUUGGAAUCUGAAAUUAUCACACAAGGGAGACAAGUUGAAGGCUCAAAGUCAUCUGAUUGGAGCACCGAGAGGAAUGUGACCUCGUUUUCAACCCCAGGAGAGUGAAACAGGAUAUAUUGGUCUAAUCAGAACUGCAUUUUCUAAAGUUCAUUCUGGUUGCUUUGCAGAAAAUAGAUCUGAGAGAAGCAAAUGUGAAUGUACGAAAAUGAGAGGUUGCUGCUGUUGUAAAAGUGACUGUGGCUUACACCAAAGACUUCCAGGAGAUAUGGAGAGAUUCCAAUGGGGAGAAAGACAUAUAUAUUAUAUUUUAUAUACAGUUUGUCUGUGAUGGUUUGAAUAGGAAUGGUCCCCCAUAGGCUCAUG